GGGGCCAUGGCUCAAUGGUAGAGCAUCUGUUUGGCAUGCAAAAGGUCCUAGCUUCAACCCCUGGCAUUCCCA
rnacentral:tRNA from 1 species